rfam:Lactobacillus frumenti DSM 13145 NODE_8, whole genome shotgun sequence.
CAAGCAUAGCAGUGAUGUUGUGUUGAGUAAGCCAGAAGUCAGCCGAGGUCAUAGUAGUUUGAAUAAUCAGAUGAAGGAC